UGAGUCUCGUAGAGGGGGGUAGAAUUCCAGGUGUAGCGGUGAAAUGCGUAGAGAUCUGGAGGAAUACCGGUGGCGAAGGCGGCCCCCUGGACGAAGACUGACGCUCAGGUGCGAAAGCGUGGGGAGCAAACAGGAUUAGAUACCCUGGUAGUCCACGCCGUAAACGAUGUCGACUUGGAGGUUGUGCCCUUGAGGCGUGGCUUCCGGAGCUAACGCGUUAAGUCGACCGCCUGGGGAGUACGGCCGCAAGGUUAAAACUCAAAUGAAUUGACGGGGGCCCGCACAAGCGGUGGAGCAUGUGGUUUAAUUCGAUGCAACGCGAAGAACCUUACCUGGUCUUGACAUCCACGGAAGUUUUCAGAGAUGAGAAUGUGCCUUCGGGAAC
rnacentral:rRNA from 1 species